rnacentral:snoRNA from 1 species
CUGUGGAUGUGAGCAUUUCUAAAUUAGUGCCUUAAAAUGCUCCCAAGAUUCAUGAAAACUUUCUCCUUCUAACUGUUUAAAUGUGGUGAUCUCCCUCCUUAGUUG